UACGUAGGGUGCGAGCGUUGUCCGGAAUUAUUGGGCGUAAAGAGCUUGUAGGCGGUUUGUCGCGUCUGCUGUGAAAAUCCGGGGCUCAACCCCGGACUUGCAGUGGGUACGGGCAGACUAGAGUGUGGUAGGGGAGACUGGAAUUCCCGGUGUAGCGGUGAAAUGCGCAGAUAUCAGGAGGAACACCGAUGGCGAAGGCAGGUCUCUGGGCCACUACUGACGCUGAGAAGCGAAAGCAUGGGGAGCGAACAGGAUUAGAUACCCCGGUA
rnacentral:rRNA from 1 species